CCAGAAUGCUCUGUACAUCCUUCUCCAGGAUAUGGAAGUUGUCGCAGUUCCUCACCGCCGACUCCAAGAGCACACGGAUCGAGUAUGGCAGCUGGUCUGUAAGCAAAUGCGUUUCACUUUAUGGCCAAGAGCUUCUCAAAUAAAACACUUGUUGUUAGUUAAGUAAGUGUCUGUCUCACUUGCCCUUUGCAACUGCCUAGCAAAACUGAAUAAUUGUCACCUUGCCCAACCAAACUUGGAAACAGACGCAGUCACUAAAACACGCGCCGCACUUAAAAAUAUUCCGCAAGUGUACAUAAGAAUGCUUUAGUCGAGAGUGCCCGAAUACAAGAUACCCUAGACUAGACUUUUAGAUAUCCUAAAAUUGCACAGCACAUUUGAUCUACUGCAUUUAUAGGUAUGUUUGCUUUUGAUUGCUUAAUUCAGAUAUAAUAUCUGUAAAAAAAUAUAUAAAAUAAAAUACUAAGCUUAAGUUUUAACAUAAUCCAACAAA